rnacentral:sRNA from 1 species
AUCCGAGGGCGCGGCCGCGCCACGGCAGGCUCGGCGUCCCUGCAGCCGGGCCUCACAGAUACGCAUGCGCUGCCCGCCUGUCGCCUGUCGCGCGGAGGCGGGGGCACUGGUUAGGAAGGUCAGCCCGACGCCGCGGGAGCCUAGGUAGUCAUCCAUCAGAAUAAUGACCAUUAAUGCGUCAUUCCGCCGGGCCGGACUGCCCUGGACGGCGCUCUAGGCAAGCCAUCCACAGCCUGAAGUGAGAUGCCAGCCAGAGACAGCCUGAGUCCGAGACACAAGGCAGAGAGAAUGAAGUACAAAUCAUAAUGGUCAUCACUCAGUGAACACACUCCCUUAAGCACCAUCCAGGAUGUUUAGCUGGUUUUUAAAGGAGAAAGAGACCGCUGAGAGAAAACACUGGAGUGGCAGCCCAGGCAGCCGUGCCUGCAGGAGGAUGCCUCCCAGCAGAACAGAGUCCUCACUUUCUGCACUUGAACUGUGUGGUGCUAGGAACGAACAGGCUGCUGUCAGUAAGAAAAUGAACCACCCAACUGGAAACAGGCACAAGAUAUCUUACUAGAAAAGGUCUCCAGAUGGUGGGCAAGCACAAGAAUGAAUGUGUAAGUAUCUCAGAGUCUUCAGGUAUGUACCCAGGAGCAUUCAGCUGUGCCAUGUGGUAGCUAAAUUUUCAGUUUAUUGAGGAACCCCCGUCCCGAUGUCUAUAGUGGCUGUGAUGUGUUUUAUAAAGCCAAGGAUAUAUUUUUGUAGAGCGCAGUAUGGUGCGGUGAGAGGGAUUGCCUCAAAGGGAUGAAGCACCAGCCAUAUGAUGGGUUUAGUAUAGAAUAGACUUUAUUUGGGGGCUUGGGAAGGGG